rnacentral:rRNA from 1 species
UACGGGGGGAGCAAGCGUUGUUCGGAUUUACUGGGCGUAAAGGGCGCGUAGGCGGCUUUGCGUGUCUUUCGUGAAAUCCCUCGGCUCAACUGAGGACGUGCGGAAGAAACUGCAGGGCUGGAGUCCGGGAGAGGAGGGUGGAAUUCCCAGUGUAGCGGUGAAAUGCGUAGAUAUCGAGAGGAACACCGGUGGCGAAGGCGGCUUCCUGGACAGUUACUGACGCUGAGACGCGAAAGCGUGGGGAGCAAACAGG